rnacentral:tRNA from 1 species
GCUUUCGUGGUGUAGUGGUCAGCACGCUCGACGAGUAACCGAGAGGUCCGUGGUUCGAUUCCUGGCGAAGGUG